AUUGAACGCUGGCGGCAUGCUUUACACAUGCAAGUCGAACGGCAGCGCGGGGCAACCUGGCGGCGAGUGGCGAACGGGUGAGUAAUAUAUCGGAACGUACCCAAGAGUGGGGGAUAACGUAGCGAAAGUUACGCUAAUACCGCAUACGAUCUAAGGAUGAAAGUGGGGGAUCGCAAGACCUCAUGCUCCUGGAGCGGCCGAUAUCUGAUUAGCUAGUUGGUGAGGUAAAGGCUCACCAAGGCGACGAUCAGUAGCUGAUCUGAGAGGACGACCAGCCACACUGGGACUGAGACACGGCCCAGACUCCUACGGGAGGCAGCAGUGGGGAAUAUUGCACAAUGGGCGCAAGCCUGAUGCAGCCAUGCCGCGUGUAUGAAGAAGGCCUUCGGGUUGUAAAGUACUUUCAGCGGGGAGGAAGGCGGUGAAGUUAAUAACUUCACCGAUUGACGUUACCCGCAGAAGAAGCACCGGCUAACUCCGUGCCAGCCGCCGCGGUAA
rnacentral:rRNA from 1 species